UCUGCUCAAUGAAAUUUUCAAUAGCCGCAACUAUGUUGUGCUAAGGUAGCAUAAUCAUUUGUCUUUUAAUUAAAGACUAGAACGAAAGAUUUAACAUUUUCAUUUCUAUCUAAAAUAUAUUCUUUUAAAACUAUCUUAAAUAUAAAAAGAUAUUUAUAUAAAAAAAAGACGACAAGACCCUAUUGAACUUAACUAAAGUUUAACUGGGGCAGUUAAUUAAUUAAAAUUUUAAUUUCAUUAAUAAUUAAACAAACCUAAUAUAAUUAAAUUUUAAUCAAGUUACCAUAGGGAUAACAGCGUAAUAAUUUUCUUAAGAUCUUAUUUAAAAAAUAGUUUGCGACCUCGAUGUUGAAUUAAUAACCUAAUAAAUGCAAAAAUUUAAUAAAGGAAGUCUGUUCGACUUUUAAUUAAUUACAUGAUCUGAG
rnacentral:rRNA from 1 species